rnacentral:rRNA from 1 species
GACGAACGCUGGCGGCGUGCCUAAUACAUGCAAGUAGAACGCUGAAGGAGGAGCUUACUCUUCUGGAUGAGUUGCGAACGGGUGAGUAACGCGUAGGUAACCUGCCUGGUAGCGGGGGAUAACUAUUGGAAACGAUAGCUAAUACCGCAUAAGAGUAGAUGUUGCAUGACAUUUGCUUAAAAGGUGCAAUUGCAUCACUACCAGAUGGACCUGCGUUGUAUUAGCUAGUUGGUGGGGUAACGGCUCACCAAGGCGACGAUACAUAGCCGACCUGAGAGGGUGAUCGGCCACACUGGGACUGAGACACGGCCCAGACUCCUACGGGAGGCAGCAGUAGGGAAUCUUCGGCAAUGGACGGAAGUCUGACCGAGCAACGCCGCGUGAGUGAAGAAGGUUUUCGGAUCGUAAAGCUCUGUUGUAAGAGAAGAACGAGUGUGAGAGUGGAAAGUUCACACUGUGACGGUAUCUUACCAGAAAGGGACGGCUAACUACGUGCCAGCAGCCGCGGUAAUACGUAGGUCCCGAGCGUUGUCCGGAUUUAUUGGGCGUAAAGCGAGCGCAGGCGGUUAGAUAAGUCUGAAGUUAAAGGCUGUGGCUUAACCAUAGUACGCUUUGGAAACUGUUUAACUUGAGUGCAAGAGGGGGAGAGUGGAAUUCCAUGUGUAGCGGUGAUAUGCGUAGAUAUAUGGAGGAACACCGGUGGCGAAAGCGGCUCUCUGGCUUGUAACUGACGCUGAGGCUCGAAAGCGUGGGGAGCAAACAGG